rnacentral:rRNA from 1 species
UACGUAGGGCGCAAGCGUUAUCCGGAAUUAUUGGGCGUAAAGAGCUCGUAGGCGGUUUGUCGCGUCUGCCGUGAAAGCCCGGGGCUCAACUCCGGAUCUGCGGUGGGUACGGGCAGACUAGAGUGAUGUAGGGGAGACUGGAAUUCCUGGUGUAGCGGUGAAAUGCGCAGAUAUCAGGAGGAACACCGAUGGCGAAGGCAGGUCUCUGGGCAGGAACUGACGCUGAGGAGCGAAAGCAUGGGGAGCGAACAGG